GGGGGCCGAGUAGAGUGGCGCACGGGUGAGUAACACGUAGGUAAUCUACCUCUGGGUGGGGAAUAACAGCCGGAAACGGCUGCUAAUACCGCAUAAUGCAGCGGCACCACAUGGUGACAGUUGUUAAAGCGGGGGAUCGUAAGACCUCGCGCCUAGAGAUGAGCCUGCGGCGGAUUAGCUAGUUGGCAGGGUAAUGGCCUACCAAGGCGACGAUCCGUAGCCGGCCUGAGAGGGCGGACGGCCACACUGGCACUGACAUACGGGCCAGACUCCUACGGGAGGCAGCAGUCGGGAAUUUUGGGCAAUGGGCGAAAGCCUGACCCAGCAACGCCGCGUGAAGGAUGAAGCUUUUCGGAGUGUAAACUUCAUAAGAAUGGGACGAAUAAGGAGGGGUUAAUACCCCCUUUGAUGACGGUACCAUUUGUAAGCUCCGGCUAACUCCGUGCCAGCAGCCGCGGUAAUACGGGGGGAGCAAGCGUUGUUCGGAUUUACUGGGCGUAAAGGGCGCGUAGGCGGCGCAACAAGUCACUUGUGAAAUCUCCGGGCUUAACCCGGAGCGGCCAAGUGAUACUGUCGUGCUAGAGUGCGGAAGGGGCUACUGGAAUUCUCGGUGUAGCGGUGAAAUGCGUAGAUAUCGAGAGGAACACCUGCGGCGAAGGCGGGUAGCUGGGCCGACACUGACGCUGAGGCGCGAAAGCCAGGGGAGCGAACGGGAUAGAUACCCCGGUAGUCCUGGCUUAAACGAUGGAUGCUUGGUGU
rnacentral:rRNA from 1 species